rnacentral:rRNA from 1 species
ACUGAACGCUAGCGGGAUGCUUUACACAUGCAAGUCGAACGAGUGGCGGACGGGUGAGUAAUAUAUCGGAACGUGCCCAGUAGCGGGGGAUAACUACUCGAAAGAGUGGCUAAUACCGCAUACUACUGGAGCGGCCGAUAUCUGAUUAUCUAGUUGGUGGGGUAAAGGCUCACCAAGGCAACGAUCCGUAGCUGGGUUGAGAGGACGACCGGCCACACUGGGACUGAGGCACGGGCCAGACUCCUACGGGAGGCAGCAGUGGGGGAUAUUGCACAGUGGGCGCAAGCCUGAUGCAGCCAUGCCGCGUGUGUGGGUGGGCCCUAGGGUUGUAAAGUUCUUUCAGUCGGGAGGCGUUACCGGCAGAAGAAGCGCCGGCUAACUCCGUGCCAGCAGCGGCGGUAAUAC